CACCUUCGGUGCUAUUCGAAAGCUAUAUUAUAGAAGUGGCAAAAAUAUUAAAUACAUUCAAAUCAAACCAGAAUGCAACAAGGAAAACCAAGGAACAAGAAGGCAAAAUGGACAGCUGCAUAUCAUUCUAACAAGUUCUGUGGAAGACAACAAUGCCACUAGUAAUCAUGAACUUAGUUAUAUACUCUUAUACAUAUAUGCAUUAGAACACAUAUGGGAUAAUGAUGGUAUAACUUCAAUGUUUACAUUUACAAUUCUGCAAAAAAAGCAUGCAACCUUAUCUAACAGUAAACCUGGUAUACCAUUUCUAGGACUUCCAUACACCGGAUAUUUGACAGGUGCAACUUUAAGAAAGUUCUGUAAGCAAUAUAGGUAAAAAAUUGCAACAUGUACACUCCAAUAAUGAUACAACUGGACUGGGCAGCUUGUCAGGCUGUAUGGUUUCUGAUUCAGAGCAUAGGCUCCAAUUGAAAUACUUGUGUAAACAUAGACAUGGGCUAGAUUCAGUUUAACAUCGAUGAGCAGAACAUUUUCUAUACAGCAACCAAAUUCUAAGCGUAAGUAGUCUAUCUAAAGAAACAUAUUGAAGAAAAACUAACCAAAGUAGUCACGUAAAACUGCUC
rnacentral:misc_RNA from 1 species